GAAUUAAUUUUCUUCUCACUUAAAGUUCUAAGGCGUAUAAAUUUUUUGGGCAGGAAAAAUUAUUGUGUUAAAUGAUAGGUGUUUAUAUGGUCAUUUCUAGCCUUGCCUUACUCCAGUGAACAUCAAAGUGCCAUGAUGGAUCCCUACAUCAAGAAUAGUGUUAAGCGGAUUGUUGGGGAAGAAAUUGGAAAAUCACAGAUCUUUAUUGUCACAAAUGGAAGGGAUGUUUUCAAUAAAACUACUGGAAUUCGA
rnacentral:lncRNA from 1 species